rnacentral:rRNA from 1 species
GGCGGACGGGUGAGUAAUGCCUAGGAAUCUGCCUGGUAGUGGGGGACAACGUUUCGAAAGGAACGCUAAUACCGCAUACGUCCUACGGGAGAAAGCAGGGGACCUUCGGGCCUUGCGCUAUCAGAUGAGCCUAGGUCGGAUUAGCUAGUAGGUGAGGUAAUGGCUCACCUAGGCGACGAUCCGUAACUGGUCUGAGAGGAUGAUCAGUCACACUGGAACUGAGACACGGUCCAGACUCCUACGGGAGGCAGCAGUGGGGAAUAUUGGACAAUGGGCGAAAGCCUGAUCCAGCCAUGCCGCGUGUGUGAAGAAGGUCUUCGGAUUGUAAAGCACUUUAAGUUGGGAGGAAGGGCAGUAAGUUAAUACCUUGCUGUUUUGACGUUACCAACAGAAUAAGCACCGGCUAACUUCGUGCCAGCAGCCGCGGUAAUACGAAGGGUGCAAGCGUUAAUCGGAAUUACUGGGCGUAAAGCGCGCGUAGGUGGUUCAGCAAGUUGGAGGUGAAAUCCCCGGGCUCAACCUGGGAACUGCCUC